rnacentral:piRNA from 1 species
UGGACUUUGCAUCAGCCUGAGUGGAUG